GGAAAACUUUCCAAACCUCUCUCUUGAAGAUGCAAUAACAAAGUUAGUGUAAGAUGAGAUUGUGGCUGUUUAGCCCUGACUUACUGUAUCCAUCCACUGCUUCCAGCUCCUGGGGAGUGCUCGCAGCAGUGUCUCCAUUGCUUCGCAGCGUAACGAGCAGUUCAUCAAACUGAAUUGGGAUGAGAGUCCUUCCUUUUCUCCCGGCUGCAGCUGUUUGCAGGUAAACGGCCUCCUUAUUUCUAAUCUUAGAGAAUUUCACUAAGGGAACUGCAUUGGUUGUAAAUUUCUCUCUUGUUUCAGUAUGAGGACUGCCUGACAGAAUUCUAUGCCCAUUGGUAGGGAGCUUAAAAAAAGUAAUACAAAGCUUUACGAUUAAGUUCCACGAAUAAAGAGAAUACGUAGAAGCCGUACAGAUGCAAAAACACAGUCGACAAACACUGCCUUAUAAUUUUGGCUGGCUGAGAAAUGAUUUCCAUGUUUGAGAAAAUUCUAAUGCGAUUCCCUGUUUGUCUGAAAACGAAAAGGAGCCUGGAACUAGAUGAACUGCUUCCAAGCAGAAACGAGAAGCUAUGUUUAAAAGCGUAAUUAAAAAGGGGCUGCAGAAGAUGGGACUCCGCCCCAGUGCUCCCCCAAGAAAUUUGGCAUCUGUAAUCAAACCAUCACGCUAAUUACUGGAAACCAGAGCCCGGCGAGGCUGCAGACAGGCCCUCAAGGAGACGUUCCCAAAAUAACCGGAGGAAUUAUUUCUUUUUUUUCCUAUUCUAAUGGCUUUCCUUCUUCUUCAAUGGAAAUAAUUCUGCUGCAGCCGGAUAACGCCUCAGACCUAUUUUUGAAAUGUGGGUUAAACGUUAAAUUUGGAAGCGGGGAGACGGCAUCCGGAGCUGCUUUCAUUUUGGGGAGGAAAAACAAAAAAAAAAGAAAGAAAAAAAGUGUGAUUUUUAUGAAGAUGGUGCCCCAGUUUCGGCUGGGGCCGCCUCAGGAACAUGCCGGCAUCAGCGCUGGCGCCGCUGCAGUAAACAUUGCGAAGUGCCGUUCUUGCAUCAAACCCGAGGCACAGAGCCCUGCCGCUCUGCACGAGGGCUGAACCAGUGGGUCGGGCCGGAGCGAAAAGAGCACAAGCUGUGAGGAACGCGGCGGAAAAGAGCACUUUGCGGCGGCUGCGUGCGGCGCUGAAGGCACAGCGGCCCCGUGACAGGACAGGGCCGGGCCGGG
ensembl:lncRNA